UACGUAGGGUGCAAGCGUUGUCCGGAAUUAUUGGGCGUAAAGAGCUCGUAGGCGGUUUGUCGCGUCUGCUGUGAAAAUCCAGGGCUUAACCCUGGACCUGCAGUGGGUACGGGCAGACUGGAGUGCGGGUAGGGGAGAUCGGAAUUCCUGGUGUAGCGGUGAAAUGCGCAGAUAUCAGGAGGAACACCGGUGGCGAAGGCGGAUCUCUGGGCCGUAACUGACGCUGAGGAGCGAAAGCAUGGGGAGCGAACAGG
rnacentral:rRNA from 1 species